rnacentral:lncRNA from 1 species
CCCCCCCCCCCCCCGGACACCUGGGGGGCACACCUGGGGGGUGACACUUGGGGGAUACCCGGGGAAGGCACCUGGGGGAGAAACUCUAGGGGGAUACCUGGGGGGGGGUGACACCAGAAGAGACAUCAGGGGAUGGAACACUAGGGAAGACACCUGGGGGAACACCUGGGCAGAGGGGACACCUUGAGGGGGUGACACCUCAGGGUGGGACACCCCGAGGGUGUGACACCUCGGUGAGGUGACACCUUGGGAGGGGGUGACACCUGGAGGGGAGCACACCCCUGUGGCGGGCCCCCCCCCCCCCCCCCCCCCCCCCCCCCCCCCCCCCCCCCCCCCCCCCCCCCCCCCCCCCCCCCCCCCCCCCCCCCCCCCCGGCGGGGUUGUGACCUCUCGGGGGGGGUUGGCACUUCCAGAGGGCACACCUGGCAGGUGAGGGGCAGCGGGGUGACAGCAGGCGACAGCCGGCUUCCACACCCCGGGGCGUGCCAGGAGGGGCGUGGCGGUGCCACCCACCCUCCGUGUCCCCCGUCGCCAGGCUGUGGCGGUGCACUGCACGCUGGGCCGCGGCCGGACCGGCACGCUGCUGGCCUGUUACCUGUGCCAGGAGCGGCACCUGGCCGCCCCCGACGCCAUCCGCGAGAUCCGGCGCCUCCGGCCCGGCUCCGUGGAGACCGCGGGGCAGGAGCAGGCUGUGAUCAGCUUCUGCCAGCUGCUCGCUGGGGAGCGAGGUGAGACCUGAGCACCUGGAUGGGAUCCGUGGAAUUGGGCACCCCAAAGUUCCCAGCCCCAUCUGUCCUCUCCUGCAUUAAAGGCUGGCCUGUGGCUUCUCUCCAGCUCUGAUUUUGGGGUACACAUUGGGGGGGAAUGCCUGCCACCCCAAAAUGCUGGAAUUCUCAGCAUCAUCUGUCCUCUCUGUUAAAGGAUGGCCUGUGGCCUCUCUCCAGCUCUGAUUUUGGGGUACACAUUGGGGGGGAGUGCCUGCCACCCCAAAAUGCUGGAGUUGCCAUCAGCCCCCCCAUCUGUCCUCUCUAUUAAAGGCUGGCCUGUGGCUUCUCUCCAGCUCUGAUUUUGGGGUACACUUUGGGGGAGAUGCCUGGCUAUGACUGCUGGGCACCCCCCAGACCUGGCCUGGUUGGCAGCUGCAUCCUGGGGUUCGGGGUCUUGGCUUUGGGGUCUCUU